CUGGACGGAAGAGGGGGCGAGCCCCGGGGCGCCGCACGUGGACCCCCGGCACGGGCACGCUCACGUGCACCCGUCCUUUCACGCCAACGCGUUUCCUGCUGCCCCCACCCCUGCACCACUGCACGUCCCAGACCCCGGCCCAGCCUCCCCGCGGUCCCUAGGCUGGGGGAGCUCAGACAGGAGGCUAGGAGGAGGGGGACUUUGGGGCUGAGGCUUUGCCAAAGGAGCAGGAGUUUGCCAAGUGUUGUAGGAAGCGGGAAGGGUGCGCCAGGUAGGGGGCACGGCGUGUGCCAAGGCCCGGAAACGUGAAACCGAGUGCUUUUCGGGGGCAACCGGGAAGUCAGUUGGUGGAGAAAAAUCAAAGAUGGGAGGAAAGGCGAGGCUGACAAGGACCCUAAACGGUGAUUCCCCAAGUCGGCCACUGGAGGGAUGACUUGGGGGACCAGGGAGGAAGAGCAGCCUGGCCUCUGGAGCGGCCUGGGAAGAGCUGGAGUUCGCAGGGUGGGAGCUGCCCUGUGGCUGGGAGCCCGUGCUGGCGUCCCUGCCAGGCGGUGAUCUCACAGGUGAGCGGUGCUUGGGGAGACGCGGAGCUGUGGGCGGGCAGGAGAAGGUCAGUGGAGGUCAUGGCUUUUGGCUUGAGGCCGGAGUCCUCUGGGGGUGGCCGAAUGGGCCCUUGGAGCUGCCUUGG
rnacentral:lncRNA from 1 species